rnacentral:tRNA from 1 species
GGGAGUGGAUGAGUUCUGGUGUUCUCUCUGGUCUUCAAAACCAGCGCGAGGGGUUAAUAGCUUCUUGGGUAAGUUCGAUUCUUACACAUUCCCGCCA